UGGGGAAUCUUGCACAAUGGGGGCAACCCUGAUGCAGCGACGCCGCGUGAGCGAUGAAGCCCUUCGGGGCGUAAAGCUCUUUCGACCGGAACGAUAAUGACGGUACCGGGAGAAGAAGCUGCGGCUAACUACGUGCCAGCAGCCGCGGUAAUACGUAGGCAGCAAGCGUUGUUCGGAGUUACUGGGCGUAAAGAGUGCGUAGGCGGUUUUCUAAGUUCGGUGUGAAAUCCCCCGGGUUAACUGGGAGGGUGCGCCGAAGACUGGGAAGCUGGAGUGUGGGAAAGGCAGGCGGAAUUCCUGGUGUAGUGGUGAAAUGCGUAGAUAUCCGGAGGAACACCAGUGCCGAAAGCGGCUUCCUGGACUGUAACUGACGCUCAGACGCGAAAGCUAGGGUAGCA
rnacentral:rRNA from 1 species